UUUUCAUCAACCGAUAUCGGUUUUACUUAGCUGUAGAUUAAAAGGGAAUCGUGUGCAAAUCACGAGCUGUCGCGCAACUGUAAAUUCUGUCUUUUAAAAUAAAGACAACGGUUUUAUCAAUAAUGCCACUGUUCUGUUUUUCGGGAUGGGAAGGCGAUAAAACCGGGAAUAAGUCAGGAGACCUGCCAGAUAUCAAAUUGACGG
rnacentral:ncRNA from 2 species